rnacentral:lncRNA from 10 species
UAAAAAAAAAAUCAGGGACUACUUGGGAUUUAAAAGCCACGCACGUGAUUCCAAUGCCACUCAGCUCAUGAAAUUUAAUCACUGGACCCCACUGGUGGCAGUUUCUACAGGGGAGACCCAUGGCCACAUGGUGGGGUUUUCAAGUUCUCCAAAGUCAUCGUCCAGCUUCAAGUCUAAAGAAAUCCAUUCAUUUCUUAUUGCUAAGAAAACAGGGAAGAUUUUUACAUCUAAACACGAAGGUUUCACUCUUACAACCAUGGAAGAUUCUAUGCUCAGCUUCCGGCGAGACUAACAGUGACAGAGGAAUCACAAAUACAGCUCAGAAUGCAGAGUUGAGGCAUGGAACGCACAUGGGUUGACAGCCACGCUGAGGACGCAGCUCAGCCUUGUGGCUGACCCUCAGCCCGGGAGCUCCAGAUGGGCAUUUCCUGGUUCCUGGAGGAGCCGCACUCACAGGCAACUGGACACCGGCCUUCUUGGUGCUUCCCUUUCUCAGAGAGCAACAAACAAUGCAACGGCAAAGCUCUGCAGACACCCCGGAAGCAACACUGCUCCCUGCUGUGGGAAAAGGCUGUGGCAAUGUUGGGCUUCACACCUACCAGGGUCAGCCCCCGGACUGCACAGAUGUCAGCCUGUGGGAGGCUUGGCUAUUCUGAGAGCCUGGGCACAAGCUUGUGGUGACUACAGUCCUGGGCCCUGGAGGGCCACAGCUGUCAACUGUAGGAACUUUACUUGAACUCUUCCUUCCCCACAUCCUCAUCUCUACAUUUCUGGUAAUAAUGUUACCCGAAAGGGUAAAUGAAACCAACUAUCUGAAACCGACAGCAAGGUGCCUGGCACGUGGUAAAUGCUUAAUAAAACUUUCGGUUUCCUGAACCUCGACCCUGGGAUUUUUGUCUGCCU